rnacentral:rRNA from 1 species
CCUACGGGGUGCUGCAGUGAGGAAUAUUGGUCAAUGGGCGCGCGCCUGAACCAGCCCAGUAGCGUGAAGGAUGACUGCCCUACGGGUUGUCAACUUCUUUUAUAAAGGAAUACAGUGAGGCACGUGUGCCUUUUUGUAUGUAUUUUAUGAAUAAGGAUCGGCUAACUCCGUGCCAGCAGCAGCUGUAAUACGGAGGGACCGAGCGUUAUACGGAUUUAUUGGGUUUAAAGGGAGCGUAGAUGGGUUGUUAAGUCAGUUGUGAACGUUUGCGGCUCAACCGUAAAAUUGCAUUUGAUACUGGCAGCCUUGAGGACAGUUGAGGUAGGCGGAAUUCGCAGUGUAGCGGUGAAAUGCUUAGAGAUCACGAAGAACUCCGAUUGCGAAGGCAGCCUACUAAACUGCCACUGACAUUGAUGCUCGAAAGUGUGGGUAUCAAACAGGAUUAGAUACCCGAGUAGUC